AAUGAUUAGAAUCACAGUUCUUGUCUUCAGAGACAGAGGGAACACAAAACCACUUGAUAAUGAGAACAAUGUGAAUAGUGAUGCAGGAGUCCAGUAUGAAAAUGUAAAAGCACGUCCUGCUGCUCCUAGACUGCAGUGAUCGACAACUUCCACACCAAC